UUAUCAUUUUAACGAUUAAAAAGUCGGGGCCACACUUUAGUCAUAACUUGCUCAUUCCCUCCUCUUCAACGGGUUGCUCAAUCUUCAGCCCUAAAGUUGAGAGCUCCAAGGCAGAUUGGGAGCUCAUCGUCUUCAAAUUUUGGUGCCUCUCUCUCGCUCUCUCUCUGUAAUCGAUCUCCGUAAUCAACCUGAAAUUCAGGAAAACUAAAAGAAAUUGAACACUGAAAAUGGAUUAUGAUAUUUAAGGUGCUUAUCUUGGAAUGACUGGAAAAAGGAUUUCUACACCUGCUGAUGCACUCUAUGUAGGUCUUGGAACGCACUACAUACCAUCUACGAACUUGGGUUCAUUGAAGGAGAAUCUCUUGACAGCCACCUUGUAUGUCUCAGAUCUUCAUUCAGUUCAUAAUAAUUCUGAGGAUCCACAUUAGGACAUCACAUUUUGGCAAGAUACAGCAGUAACCCAGAGUCUGAGCCCCAGUUGAAGCAGCUUAUACCUCAAAUAGCUUCAUCCUUCGCAGGAAAUAAAUCUGUUAAUGAAACAAUACAAGAGCUGAAAAAGCAUCAGCUGAGCACUGAUGCCUCAGAAAGAGGCUUCUUCAUUCUCUUGCACUGGCUUUUGGUUGUAUAAUUGCUUCAUCUUUGGGAUGUCCAAAAGGUGUCACACCUAAGUACAACUUGAAGCCUCUUGUGCCAAUGCUGUUUGAUAUAAAACAUGACAUUGAUGUUGAGAAAAUGCUUUUUUAGAUAUUCUCUUUGAAGAAACUGUUGCUAUUUUUCAUUUGAACGGUUACUAUUUUGAUUUGAAUUUGGAAACUUUCAGUUUUAAUUUUUGUAAAAUUUUACUUUUUAUAUACUCAUUGUGGUUUGGGAAUAAAAUGUUUUUGAUGUGUGGAUGUCAA